rfam:Luteococcus japonicus LSP_Lj1 genome assembly, contig: Scaffold29
UUCACAUCGGCAGCAGUGAUUGCCAUGUCAG